rnacentral:tRNA from 1 species
GGGCCGAUGGUCAAAGAGUAUCGAUCGGCGAAGCCUGGUACUGACACCUCCUUGGCAUGGAGGGGAUCGUGGGUUCAAAUCCCACUCGGUCCA